rnacentral:tRNA from 1 species
GGGACGGUGGCUCAGUGGUAGGGUGUAUGCUUUGCAUGCAUGAGGCACUGGGUUCGAUUCCUCAGCAUCCUA